CUCACUGCGUAAUCUCUCGCCAUUCUUCUAAACAGGAGGAAAGGUGGACGUAAAUAUCCACGACAGCGCGGUGUGGGGCAGCCGGGCUCCAAAUUAUUCCUUCUCCGAUCGGCCAAGAAACUUCGCGUUCACUUCACACCGUUCUGUUAAAGACAGGAAGUCGAACCCCUCCCCGUGUGGACCGGCCGCAGUGCGCACAGGUAGCCCGCGGCUGCUUGCGUGAUGCUGCGUCUUGGCCACGGCGAGUAAAAGCGAACCAAAGUGCUCGUGGACGGAGUGUGUGAGUGUCGGCGGAGCUCCGUGUGUCUGCUGCGGAGAGCUGAGAGGGGGAAUAUCAGAGUGAUGUCAGCAGAGCGUCACCAAGAGGACUUGAGCCGUAAUACUCAGCCCGGCUCACCGCUCCGACUGCACGGACCGGACGAGGCGCGGCUUUUCAAGGGUCACAAAUAACACGGCUGCAUACCUGCGCUGCGGCCUCGAGGUGUGAUCUGCUGACACCUGCCGCUCGGCAUGUGGCCACAUGAGGAAAACCCGUCGAGAAGCAGAACUAACAAUAUUAUUCAGUGACACACUAGUGAUAAUGAAAAUAAAUACCAGUGGGGUAUAACCAGA